UACGGGGGGGGCAAGCGUUGUUCGGAAUUACUGGGCGUAAAGGGCGCGUAGGUGGUCCGCUAAGUCGAAUGUGAAAACUCUGGGCUUAACCCAGAGCCUGCAUUCGAUACUGACGGGCUUGAGUUCUGGAGGGGAUAGCGGAAUUCCUGGUGUAGCGGUGAAAUGCGUAGAUAUCAGGAGGAACACCGGUGGCGAAGGCGGCUAUCUGGACAGAGUCUGACGCUGGGGCGCGAAAGCGAGGGGAGCAAACAGG
rnacentral:rRNA from 1 species